UGCCAGCCGCCGCGGUAAUACGGAGGGGGUUAGCGUUGUUCGGAAUUACUGGGCGUAAAGCGCGCGUAGGCGGAUUGGAAAGUAUGGGGUGAAAUCCCAGGGCUCAACCCUGGAACUGCCUCAUAAACUCCUGGUCUAGAGUUCGAGAGAGGUGAGUGGAAUUCCGAGUGUAGAGGUGAAAUUCGUAGAUAUUCGGAGGAACACCAGUGGCGAAGGCGGCUCACUGGCUCGAUACUGACGCUGAGGUGCGAAAGUGUGGGGAGCAAACAGGAUUAGAUA
rnacentral:rRNA from 1 species